rnacentral:rRNA from 1 species
CGGACGGGUGAGUAAUGUAUGGGGAUCUGCCUGAUGGCGGGGGAUAACUACUGGAAACGGUAGCUAAUACCGCAUAACGUCGCAAGACCAAAGAGGGGGACCUUCGGGCCUCUUGCCAUCAGAUGAACCCAUAUGGGAUUAGCUUGUAGGUAAGGUAACGGCUUACCUAGGCGACGAUCCCUAGCUGGUCUGAGAGGAUGAUCAGCCACACUGGGACUGAGACACGGCCCAG